rnacentral:rRNA from 1 species
UGGCGGACGGGUGAGUAACGCGUGGGUAACCUGCCUCAUACAGGGGGAGUAACAGUUAGAAAUGACUGCUAAUACCGCAUAAGCGCACAGGAUUGCAUGAUCCCGCGUGAAAAAACUCCGGUGGUAUGAGAUGGACCCGCGUCUGAUUAGCUGGUUGGCGGGGUAACGGCCCACCAAGGCGACGAUCAGUAGCCGACCUGAGAGGGUGACCGGCCACAUUGGGACUGAGACACGGCCCAAACUCUUACGGGAGGCAGCAG